GCAGUGGGAGGUCAGGUAGCCCUUAGACGGGAAGAUUUCAGCGCCAAUGGCUCAUCCGGGCUCUGCGGUGAGCACUUCAGACAGGAGGAUUUUGACAGGACAGGUCAGACUGUUAGAAUCAGACAUGAAGUUCUUCCUUCUGUGUUCAGGUUUCCAACUCAUCUCCAAAGGAUAGCCAGUGGCAACCAGGAGCACACUGACUUGAGCGAGGGCACAGGAGAGCCUUUCAGCAGACUGUUCUUUGCCUGUCCAAGAGACUGCAGCUCUGCCUGAGCCCAGUGUUGAAAAAAAGACGCUCCGCCAUUGUAACCUUCCCGCAGUAUGUCCACUUCCGCCCUUCCUCCACCAUCUUCAUUGACGUCAGCAGUCACAUCCUACCUCACGGUUCCUACCCAGCAUUCCUCCACUUCCGGCUCCUCCCCUAUAAAAUGGCCGCCGACGCCUCAGAACAGCGUCGCGCAUAUGAAUGGUGUUGUUUAUAUCUUUGACCCUUUUUGUUUCUCUAUUGUGGAGUGUCCGCAAUAUACGGGGCCGGAAAAC